rnacentral:rRNA from 1 species
AUUGAACGCUGGCGGUAUGCUUAACACAUGCAAGUCGCACGAUGAGAAAGAGCUUGCUCUUUCGAUUAGUGGCGGCCGGGUGCGUAACGCGUAGGAAUCUACCUAUUAGUGGGGGACAACCUAGGGAAACUUAAGCUAAUACCGCAUACGCCCUACGGGGGAAAGAAGGGGAUCGCAAGACCUUUUGCUAAUAGAUGAGCCUGCGUAGGAUUAGCUAGUUGGUGGGGUAAAAGCUCACCAAGGCGACGAUCCUUAACUGGUUUGAGAGAAUGAUCAGUCACACUGGAACUGAGACACGGUCCAGACUCCUACGGGAGGCAGCAGUGGGGAAUAUUGGACAAUGGGCGAAAGCCCGAUCCAGCUAUACCGCGUGUGUGAAGAAGGCCUUAGGGUUGUAAAGCACUUUCAAUUGGAAGGAAAACCUCGAAGCUAAUACCUUCGAGUUUGACAUUACCUUUAGAAGAAGCACCGGCUAACUCCGUGCCAGCCGCCGCGGUAAGAC